GCUCAGCCCCGGGGCGGAGCUGGCGGCGGCCCAGAGGACGCGGCCCGGCCGCAGCAGAGCCGGGGCUCAGGGACACAGCGAGGCUCGGCCGGCGGAGCGGCGGCAUGCGGCGGUGUCGGGGCGCGGGGCUGGCGGCGCUGGCCGCGCUGUUGCUCGUGGCAGUGGCUAGAGCCCAGGUGCAGCAGGAGACAUUCCUGGAGAUCACCGAGGGCACCGGCAUCAACAUCACCUGCUCACAUCCCAAUAAACGGAGCAACGAAUACAUCCAUUUCUACCGUCAGUUCCCGGGCCAAAGCCCAGAAUUCCUUGCAACCGCUUAUGGAGGUUCCAAGGAUGUGCCUGCCAUAGCAGGAAAGCUGUCGGUGUCGGAGGACGGGCGUUCGAGCGCGCUGUGGCUCGCUGGGCCCCGGCGCGGGGACGCGGCCGUGUAUUACUGCGCGCUGGGCGCCACGGCCAGAGGAGCCGGGGCUGCGGCCGGGCACGAACCGCCGCGGGCGGGGCCGGCCGAGGCCAGCAGGGGGCGCUGCCGCUCCUCCCGCCGCCCUCCCGGGCCGCGGCUCCGCAGCUCCUUCCUCUGCCCCGAGCCCGCCCCACCGACAGCGCCAAUGACAGCGAAAAGGCCGGCACACUCCGGGCCGGAUUGCCCUCACUUCAACUGCUAUUGCUUCUCCUCACUUCCAUCACAUCCCUAA